UACAACAAGAUAUGGAGAAGAUUGUAGCUAGAGGUGGAGCUUUGAAGAAGUUCUACAAGAGGUAGAUCCAUGAAAUCAAGGAGCUUUUCUAAAGCUAAUUUAUGUUUCUGCUACCACCUCCUCGGAUGAUCCUUCUCCUACCAAAUUUUCCCUUACUACCUUUCGGGAGUUACUUAAACAGGUUUAGGAUCCGCACACGGGAAAGAUAGUCGGUACAGGUCGCAAGGUGGGACGAUUGUGCAAGUCACGUCUAUUCGAUUUCCUGAUUCCCCAUCUAUCUCUGCAUCUAUCACUGACUAUGUUAUAUAUCAAUGGCAUCAUCAUCUUGGUCAUGCUUCUUCUGACAAACUUGACAAGUUAUUGCUUCUACUUGGGGGAUUUCUUAUUUCUUGGCGAAAUAAGAAGCAAACUAUUGUUUCACGUUCUAGUAUUAAAUCUAAAUAUCGUGCUCUUCUUGAUGCUACAUCUGAGAUACUAUAGCUUCGUUGGCUUAUUGCAGAUAUGGGUGUUCCUCAACAGUUAACUAUUAUACUUCAUUAUGAAAAUCGUAGUGCUAUCCAAAUUGCUCAUAGUGAUGUAUUUCGUG